AUGUAAGUGAUAGAUUUCACAAGGAACAAAAUAUGAGUUGAAAUUCUACACAAUGGCAUUUGGUGUCCGUCAUCAUUUUCUUUUAUGCAUUUUGUGCAUUGCUUUUGUUUUGCUUUCAGUUAUUGCAGCGGACGAUUCUUUUCCAGACCCUCCAGGAAAAACUUGUGCAAACAAAUGUGUGACAAAUAAAGCGUGCAAUCAAAAUUGUUUAAAGAAUGGCUUCAAGAAAGGUGGGAAUUGUAUUACAUACACUCCACAAUAUGUGGUUUGUUGUUGUAACAAUAAUGGAUUAAUGUAACUAUCGUUACUCUUCAAUAAAUAAAAUAUAAAUUUGCAUAUACAAAAA